GACGAACGCUGGCGGCGUGCCUAAUACAUGCAAGUCGAACGAGUGGCGGACGGGUGAGUAAUGUAUGGGAAACUGCCUGAUGGAGGGGGAUAACUACGGGAAACGGUAGAUAAUACCGCAUAACAUCAGCUGUGCCCAGAGGGGAUUAGCUAGUGGGUGGGUGAACGGCUCACCAAGGCGACGAUCCCUAGCUGGUCUGAGAGGAUGACCAGCCACACUGGAACUGAGACACGGCCCAGACUCCGACGGGAGGCAGCAGUGGGGAAUAUUGGACAAUGGGCGAAAGCCUGAUGCAGCCAUGCCGCGUGUAUGAAGAAGGCCUUCGGGUUGUAAAGUACUUUCAGCGGGGAGGCGUUACCCGCAGAAGAAGCACCGGCUAACUCCGUGCCAGCAGCCGCGGUAAUUC
rnacentral:rRNA from 1 species